GGCUUAGUGGUCUAGCGGUAUGAUUCCUGCUUUGGGUGCAGGAGGUCCCGGGUUCAAUCCCCGGCUGAGCCC
rnacentral:tRNA from 2 species